UGAGCAAUCUGCCCUUCUCAUCGGAAUAAGCGUUGGAAACGACGUCUAAUGCCGAAUACGACCUCCUUUCGCAUGAUCGGAGGUGGAAAGCUCCGGCGGAGAAGGAUGAGCUCGCGGCCUAUCAGCUAGUUGGUGUGGGUAAUGGCCCACCAAGGCGACGACGGGUAGCCGGCCUGAGAGGGUGACCCGGCCACACGUGGGACUGAGACACGGCCCAGACCUCCGUACGGGAGCAG
rnacentral:rRNA from 1 species